rnacentral:rRNA from 1 species
AACCGCCCACCAAGCUUUUAACCAAUAGGUGUUUAGAGGGGUUAUCCGCCCCCUUUGGGAUUGGGCCCCGGCCCAAAUCUCUGGGGGAGGCAGCGGUGGGGAUUCUGCCAAAGGGAGAAAUUUUGAUGCAACGAUCCCGCGUAGAUGAAAGGAGGCCCUUUGGGUUAAAAAUUUUUUUUGUGGGGAAAAAAAAUGACUGUACCCGAAUAAGAAGGUCCGGCUAAUUUCGUGCCAGCAGCCGCGGUAAUACGAAGGGACCUAGCGUAGUUCGGAAUUACUGGGCUUAAAGAGUUCGUAGGUGGUUGAAAAAGUUGGUGGUGAAAUCCCAGAGCUUAACUCUGGAACUGCCAUCAAAACUUUUCAGCUAGAGUUUGAUAGAGGAAAGCAGAAUUUCUAGUGUAGAGGUGAAAUUCGUAGAUAUUAGAAAGAAUACCAAUUGCGAAGGCAGCUUUCUGGAUCAUUACUGACACUGAGGAACGAAAGCAUGGGUAGCGAAGAGGAUUAGAUACCCUCGUAGUCCAUGCCGUAAACGAUGUGUGUUAGACGUUGGAAAUUUAUUUUCAGUGUCGCAGCGAAAGCGAUAAACACACCGCCUGGGGAGUACGACCGCAAGGUUAAAACUCAAAUGAAUUGACGGGGACCCGCACAAGUAGUGGAGCAUGUGGUUUAAUUCGAAGAUACGCGCAGAACCUUACCAACACUUGACAUGUUCGUCGCGACUUUAAGAGAUUAAAGUUUUCGGUUCGGCCGGACGAAACACAGGUGCUGCAUGGCUGUCGUCAGCUCGUGUCGUGAGAUGUUGGGUUAAGUCCCGCAACGAGCGCAACCCUCACUUUUAGUUGCCAUCAUUAAGUUGGGCACUCUGAAAGAACUGCCAGUGAUAAGCUGGAGGAAGGUGGGGAUGACGUCAAGUCCUCAUGGCCCUUACGUGUUGGGCUACACACGUGCUACAAUGGUAUUUACAACAGGAAGCAAAACGGCAACGUUAAGCAAAUCCUAAAAAGAUACCUCAGUUCGGAUUGCACUCUGCAACUCGAGUGCAUGAAGCUGGAAUUACUAGUAAUCGUGGAUCAGCGUGCCACGGUGAAUGCGUUCCCGGGUCUUGUACACACCGCCCGUCACACCAUGGGAGUCAGUAACGCCCGAAGUCAGUGACCCAACCGUAAGGAGGGAGCUGCCGAAGGUGGGACCGAUAACUGGGGUGAAGUCGUAACAAGGUAGCCGUA